UCAAGGUGUAACCAAAAACGUUUAUUGGGAGUGUUUGUGUUUGUAAAUAUGUUUUUAUUGAACAUUUCGUUAUUUUGGUUUUUGUUUGUUAUCAACAUGGAACAGGAAAACAUGGACACGCAGGUCCCAUUGGUCAUUUGUACAUGCUUAUACAUCGUAGGGCAUAGUCUGUCAGACGUGUCUUGGCGACUCGCAGGUUGCUUUCUUGAGUAAGUGGUGUGCAUUGUGGCCUCGCGGGUCCGGUAGUACAUAGUUACGAAUAGUACUCUGUUAUAUCUAAUGUGUACCUUUUCUACGUUGGGUAGUAUUGUAUG